rnacentral:lncRNA from 1 species
CUGCAGUUUAAUUCCUUGUUCUUCUCUUACAGGAGCUUAUCAAAUGAUGUAAGGAAGACGGAUACCACAUUUCUUAUUCAGUCCAUCCUAAGUGACGUAGAAGGAACAUCACGCUUAGAAGAGACAGAUUCAUCCUCAUUUUCGUGGAGACGUUUUCUCGUAGCAACUGGCUAAAAGAAAGAUGCAGCAGGAUGGCUACAUUAAUCAGGUACAACAGAGCCUGACUGUUUUGUCUACUACAGAAUUACAGAUGUUGGAUAAAGUCUCCCUCCUGUAACCAAAACAGCAGCAUGACUAAUGAGUGUUUCUCUCCAGUGAUCUAAUGGUAAGUGAUCCUUCUCAUGUAAGACGCUGCCCUUACUCCCUUUUCUGUCUUAGCUGCUCCCCACUUUGACUACUGUUUAAAAUAAUGCU